CCCGGAUAACUAUAUGCCACAUAUCCUGUACAGCUUCAAUACUGUACGUGAAAUUUGCCACUUCGCUAAAGCAAACGGCUACGUACGUGGCGGUCGUCUUGAAAACAGAGAAGAGUGUACGUAGCGUUGUUCAGCGCAACACGUAGCCUUCGCGUCUAGUGGACACAAGUUGUCAAUUCGCAAUACUCAAGCAGUAUGCCCCAGUUUACACGACGCAAUAGUUGUACAGGUUCUGGAUACUAAUUGAUUGGAAUAAAUAGAAAUGAUCGUCAUUUGAGUGAGACAAGCUCGGUCAACAUUCUGCUACAUACUCUCAGCUUGAGUUUGCUUUACAUUGUGGUGUACAAUGUUUCAUUUGAUGCUCAGAUCAGCUUCAUCAAAUUUACUCUCCUGAGUUAAUUUAACCAGAAUUGCGUUUGGUGAAUGGAUUGAAGCUACAAAGAGAUAUAUUCAGCUUCAAUUAGCUAAAUUGCUCUAGUAGAGUUCUGAGGCAUAAUACUUCUAUGACUCAUGUGCCUCAGCUAACUACUCAGCGCAAUAGACAUAUAGAAAUGGAUGGGUGUAUCUAUUUCAAUUCCUAGACAAUGCUAUCUCUGUGCUAUCUGUACUCAAUUCGAUGUUAGUUCAGACUUGUAGUGAACUGCUAAUUAGACAGUGACACUGCCUAGUUGAUAACAAUCAAUAGAGUGAUCGUGUACGUACACGUCUAGAGUCUAUUCUCUUUA